rnacentral:lncRNA from 1 species
AAUAAAUAGAUGGACUGAAAACCUACAGGACGUAGAUCUUCAGGAAAAGGGUUGGACUGAAAACCUACAGGACAGUAUAUCGUCUCAGGAAGAGGGUUGGACUGAAACCUACAGGACAGUAGACUUCAGGAAGAGGGUUGGACUGAAAAACCUACAAGGACAGUAGAUCUUCAGGAAGAGGGUUGGACUGAAAACCUACAGGACAGUAGAUCUUCAGGAAGAGGUUGGACUGAAACCCUACAGGACAGUAGAUCGCCAGGAAGAGGGUUGGACUGCCCUGAUGUACAUAAUCAAAGCUUUCUUUCAUUUCGGGUCAGUCACAGUGGUCAGAUAAUUCUGCCACUGUGUAGUCCUGUUUAAGACCAAAUACCUUCUUUCCAAAUGUGUCAAGUAGUUUCAUUUUUGAUUUCUCUGAUUUGGUUGGGUCUAAGUGUGUUGCGUGUCCUCUAACUCACUUCCUCAUCUUCAUCCUCAGCUAAGAGUUAGAGUCAGAAUACGUACUCCCUCAUCCUCACCUUAGUUAGAAGAGUCAGAUAAAUAAGUCAGAGGGUUUUUUUGUGUUAUACUCUUGCCAUUGUGUGUGGUUGUAUUUUAAUGUCUAAUUGUCAUAGAAAUAAACCAAUUAAUCAAGGGUUAACUUACUCACGACACACACAGAGGAGCUUGUGGGAAAUCUGAACAUUUUAACUAUUAUGAAGAUGAAGAUUAACCUGUGAGUGACGGGGGAAGCCGACAGGGGUCGACGGGUUGGAAGAGAAGCUAUUGUUUGUGUGGUCGUGGAGAGUACACCGAAGCGAGAGCCUUCCCCAGGGCGUCUCCCGUCUGAGAGCUGGUCGGUGCCCCGUUAGACUGUCGCAUACACACAACACACACACACACACACACACACACACACACACACAACACACACCACACACACACGCACGCACCGCACAACACACCACACACACACCACACACACAAAAACGGAAUAAGAAGUGGGAUUCCGUAAGUAGGGAUGUUUAUUCAUUUCAAUAAUUCCACCCUCCCCCUCCAUCCCAUAAACCCUCCAUCCAGUCAUCGCU